rnacentral:rRNA from 1 species
UAUGUGAUCGUCUCUCGCAUAUCAAUAAGCGGAGGAAAAGAAACUAACAAGGAUUCCCCUAGUAACGGCGAGUGAAGCGGGAAGAGCUCAAAUUUGAAAUCUUAAAGGGUUUCCCUUUACGAAUUGUAGUUUAAAGAAGUGUUUUCUGUUGAGGUUUUGGUAAAAGUUCUUUGGAAUAGGACAUCAUAGAGGGUGAGAAUCCCGUAUUUGACCUUUACUUUCAACUUUGUGAUACACUUUCAAAGAGUCGGAUUGUUUGGGAAUGCAGUCCAAAAUGGGUGGUAAAUUUCAUCUAAAGCUAAAUAUUGGCGAGAGACCGAUAGCGAACAAGUACCGUGAGGGAAAGAUGAAAAGAACUUUGAAAAGAGAGUUAAACAGUACGUGAAAUUGUCAAAAGGGAAGCGUUUGACACCAGUGUUGUUUUUCUGAAAAUCAAUUAAAGAACUGUUUAUGCUAAGUUGUUUAGACUUUAUCAGCUAACUGUUUAGUUUUGAGCUUUUCUUUAAUGCACUUUUCAGUUAACAAGUCAACAUCAAUUUCUUUUGCUGUAAAAAAGCUUGAGGAAGGUGGCUUGAGAUUCGUCUUAAGUGUUUAUAGCCUCUUGCCUAUGCAGUCGGAGAGAUUGAGGUCUGCAGCGUAGAUCCUUCGGGGCUAAAUGCAUUUGUGCUAAGUUAUAGCAUUUUCAUAGACAACUUGUUGACUAUGAUUUGUCUUGUAGCUUACUCGCUUAUGUUAUUUUACCUACGCUUAGGAUGUUGAAGACUCUACAGAGAUA